rnacentral:tRNA from 1 species
AAAAAGAUAAGCUAAUUAAGCUACUAGGUUCAUACCCUAUUUAUGAAAGUCCCGGCCUUUCUCUUUUUA